GUGAGCCGCCACCGCGCAUGCGCAGCGCCAGGCCCGCUGCAGUGACGCUCGCUGCUAAAAAUAGCAGAUCAAACUGCAGCUGGGCGCGGAGGAGCUGAAUGUGUAUGCAUGCUAAACAGCAGGCUCGCCCUCCACACCCUUUCUGUCCUUUAUGGCCAAAAAGCGCUGACCCUGUUUGACAGCUGGGCUUGUUUGUCCCUCCCAGGUCACCGUAGCUUUUGUCUUGGCCUCAGAGGCUGUGAUGGCUGCUGGUGGGGCAGAACUGAGAGAUGCUAGAGAGAGAUGUGAAGCUUUUUACGAGCCAGGAGAUGAGCGGGGUCCUCACGCGCGAUUCAGACAGCAAGUGUGGGGUGUUAACGAGAUGAGGACUCCUGAAGAGACCUGAGGGGAGGAGAAGUCAGAGGUCAACCGAGAUAAUCAACCCCUCAAUCACGAAGAGCCGAGUGACAAGAGUUUCGCUGAAAGAGAGAGAUUCACCACACAGCAGCCGACCAAUCACUGAAUCAGGUGCAGCUUUGCACAUAGUGGACUACAGUGGAUCUUGGAUGCUUGGUUGUGCUUCUUUCUCCACCAAUCUGAAUGGCUGAUUCCUGCUGUGGGAUGGGCCUUGGCAGAUAAAAGGAUUCACCUGUGCCCAGUUAU